AUGAUGAAGUUUGGAAGCAUUUUCCUAAUGGUUGUAGCCUUGUUUGUUCUCUUCACCUCCACUUUCGGAUCUCGUAUUGCUAUCACAGAUAUUGCUUUUUGUCCAAGACAUUUGGAGGUUCCGGGAAAAUGCAACAAUUCUCGCAGCUGUGGUGAAGAUCUUAAUGCUGCAUUUGGAGCAAGCGCCAUGGUUCAUCAAUGUACUUGUGAAGAUCUUGCUUCAAAUAAUCAUCGUUGUACAUGUUUAGCUGUUUGUCAAUAG